CCUACGGGGGGCAGCAGUGAGGAAUAUUGGUCAAUGGUCGGGAGACUGAACCAGCCAAGCCGCGUGAGGGAUGAAGGUACAGAGUAUCGUAAACCUCUUUUGUCAGGGAACAAAGGCGGGGACGUGUCCCCGGAUGAGUGUACCUGAAGAAAAAGCAUCGGCUAACUCCGUGCCAGCAGCCGCGGUAAUACGGAGGAUGCGAGCGUUAUCCGGAUUUCUUGGGUUUAAAGGGUGUGCAGGCGGUCUGUUAAGUCAGCGGUCAAAGCCCGGGGCUCAACCCCGGCCCGCCGUUGAAACUGGCAGGCUCGAGUUGGAGAGAGGUAUGCGGAAUGCGCGGUGUAGCGGUGAAAUGCAUAGAUAUCGCGCAGAACUCCGAUUGCGAAGGCAGCAUGCCGGAUCCACACUGACGCUGAGGCACGAAAGCGUGGGUAUCGAACAGGAUUAGAUACCCGGGUAGUC
rnacentral:rRNA from 1 species